rnacentral:rRNA from 1 species
GCGCACGGGUGCGUAACACGUAUGCAACCUGCCUUCAACUGGGAGAUAGCCCGGGGAAACUCGGAUUAAUACCCCAUAACACAGUGAUUCAGCAUUGGAUUAUUGUUAAAGCUCCGGCGGUUGAAGAUGGGCAUGCGUUCGAUUAGCUAGUUGGUGUAGGUAACGGCUCACCAAGGCUACGAUCGAUAGGGGGUCUGAGAGGAUGAUCCCCCACACUGGUACUGAGAUACGGACCAGACUCCUACGGGAGGCAGCAGUAGGGAAUAUUGGUCAAUGGGCGGAAGCCUGAACCAGCCAUGCCGCGUGCAGGAAGACGGCCCUACGGGUUGUAAACUGCUUUUGCAGGGGAAUAAACCUCAUUACGUGUAAUGAGCUGAAUGUACUCUGAGAAUAAGGAUCGGCUAACUCCGUGCCAGCAGCCGCGGUAAUACGGAGGAUCCAAGCGUUAUCCGGAUUUAUUGGGUUUAAAGGGUGCGUAGGUGGCCUGUUAAGUCAGGGGUGAAAGACGGUAGCUUAACUAUCGCAGUGCCCUUGAUACUGAUGGGCUUGAAUGAACUAGAGGUAGGCGGAAUGUGACAAGUAGCGGUGAAAUGCAUAGAUAUGUCACAGAACACCCAUUGCGAAAGGCAGCUUACUAAAGUAUGAUUGACGCUGAGGCACGAAAGCGUGGGGAUCAAACAGGAUUAGAUACCCUGGUAGUCCACGCCCUAAACGAUGAAUACUCGAUGUUGGCGAUAUACGGCCAGCGUCUAAGCGAAAGCGUUAAGUAUUCCACCUGGGGAGUACGCCC